rnacentral:rRNA from 1 species
AGCGUACACGGUGGAUGCCCUGGCAGUCAGAGGCGAUGAAGGACGUGCUAAUCUGCGAAAAGCGUCGGUAAGGUGAUAUGAACCGUUAUAGCCGGCGAUGUCCGAAUGGGGAAACCCAGUGUGAUUCGUCACACUAUCGUUAACUGAAUACAUAGGUUAACGAGGCGAACCGGGGGAACUGAAACAUCUAAGUACCCCGAGGAAAAGAAAUCAACCGAGAUUCCCCCAGUAGCGGCGAGCGAACGGGGAGCAGCCCAGAGUCUGAAUCAGCUUGUGUGUUAGUGGAACGGUCUGGAAAGUCCGACGGUACAGGGUGAUAGUCCCGUACACCAAAAUGCACAGGUUGUGAACUCGAAGAGUAGGGCGGGACACGUGGUAUCCUGUCUGAAUAUGGGGGGACCAUCCUCCAAGGCUAAAUACUCCUGACUGACCGAUAGUGAACCAGUACCGUGAGGGAAAGGCGAAAAGAACCCCGGCGAGGGGAGUGAAAAAGAACCUGAAACCGUGUACGUACAAGCAGUGGGAGCACCUUCGGGUGUGACUGCGUACCUUUUGUAUAAUGGGUCAGCGACUUAUAUUCUGUAGCAAGGUUAACCGUAUAGGGGAGCCGCAGGGAAACCGAGUCUUAACUGGGCGUUAAGUUGCAGGGUAUAGACCCGAAACCCGGUGAUCUAGCCAUGGGCAGGUUGAAGGUUGGGUAACACUAACUGGAGGACCGAACCGACUAAUGUUGAAAAAUUAGCGGAUGACUUGUGGCUGGGGGUGAAAGGCCAAUCAAACCGGGAGAUAGCUGGUUCUCCCCGAAAGCUAUUUAGGUAGCGCCUCGUGAAUUCAUCUUCGGGGGUAGAGCACUGUUUCGGCUAGGGGGUCAUCCCGACUUACCAACCCGAUGCAAACUACGAAUACCGAAGAAUGUUAUCACGGGAGACACACGGCGGGUGCUAACGUCCGUCGUGAAGAGGGAAACAACCCAGACCGCCAGCUAAGGUCCCAAAGUCAUGGUUAAGUGGGAAACGAUGUGGGAAGGCACAGACAGCCAGGAUGUUGGCUUAGAAGCAGCCAUCAUUUAAAGAAAGCGUAAUAGCUCACUGGUCGAGUCGGCCUGCGCGGAAGAUGUAACGGGGCUAAACCAUGCACCGAAGCUGCGGCAGCGACACUAUGUGUUGUUGGGUAGGGGAGCGUUCUGUAAGCCUGCGAAGGUGACCUGUGAGGGUUGCUGGAGGUAUCAGAAGUGCGAAUGCUGACAUAAGUAACGAUAAAGCGGGUGAAAAGCCCGCUCGCCGGAAGACCAAGGGUUCCUGUCCAACGUUAAUCGGGGCAGGGUGAGUCGACCCCUAAGGCGAGGCCGAAAGGCGUAGUCGAUGGGAAACAGGUUAAUAUUCCUGUACUUGGUGUUACUGCGAAGGGGGGACGGAGAAGGCUAUGUUAGCCGGGCGACGGUUGUCCCGGUUUAAGCAUGUAGGCUGAUUGUCCAGGCAAAUCCGGAUAAUCAAGGCUGAGGUGUGAUGACGAGGCACUACGGUGCUGAAGUAACAAAUGCCCUGCUUCCAGGAAAAGCCUCUAAGCAUCAGGUAACAUCAAAUCGUACCCCAAACCGACACAGGUGGUCAGGUAGAGAAUACCAAGGCGCUUGAGAGAACUCGGGUGAAGGAACUAGGCAAAAUGGUGCCGUAACUUCGGGAGAAGGCACGCUGGUGUGUAGGUGAAGCCCCUGCGGGUGGAGCUGAGACCAGUCGAAGAUACCAGCUGGCUGCAACUGUUUAUUAAAAACACAGCACUGUGCAAACACGAAAGUGGACGUAUACGGUGUGACGCCUGCCCGGUGCCGGAAGGUUAAUUGAUGGGGUUAUCCGUAAGGAGAAGCUCUUGAUCGAAGCCCCGGUAAACGGCGGCCGUAACUAUAACGGUCCUAAGGUAGCGAAAUUCCUUGUCGGGUAAGUUCCGACCUGCACGAAUGGCGUAAUGAUGGCCAGGCUGUCUCCACCCGAGACUCAGUGAAAUUGAACUCGCUGUGAAGAUGCAGUGUACCCGCGGCAAGACGGAAAGACCCCGUGAACCUUUACUAUAGCUUGACACUGAACAUUGAGCCUUGAUGUGUAGGAUAGGUGGGAGGCUUUGAAGCGUGGACGCCAGUCUGCGUGGAGCCAACCUUGAAAUACCACCCUUUAAUGUUUGAUGUUCUAACGUUGGCCCCUUAUCGGGGUUGCGGACAGUGUCUGGUGGGUAGUUUGACUGGGGCGGUCUCCUCCCAAAGCGUAACGGAGGAGCACGAAGGUUAGCUAAUCCUGGUCGGACAUCAGGAGGUUAGUGCAAUGGCAUAAGCUAGCUUGACUGCGAGCGUGACGGCGCGAGCAGGUGCGAAAGCAGGUCAUAGUGAUCCGGUGGUUCUGAAUGGAAGGGCCAUCGCUCAACGGAUAAAAGGUACUCCGGGGAUAACAGGCUGAUACCGCCCAAGAGUUCAUAUCGACGGCGGUGUUUGGCACCUCGAUGUCGGCUCAUCACAUCCUGGGGCUGAAGUAGGUCCCAAGGGUAUGGCUGUUCGCCAUUUAAAGUGGUACGCGAGCUGGGUUUAGAACGUCGUGAGACAGUUCGGUCCCUAUCUGCCGUGGGCGCUGGAGAAUUGAGGGGGGCUGCUCCUAGUACGAGAGG